rnacentral:rRNA from 1 species
GGAAACCGGAGCCAAUACCAGAUAAUAUUUUGAACCGCAUGGUUCAAAAGUGAAAGACGGUCUUGCUGUCACUUAUAGAUGGAUCCGCGCUGCAUUAGCUAGUUGGUAAGGUAACGGCUUACCAAGGCAACGAUGCAUAGCCGACCUGAGAGGGUGAUCGGCCACACUGGAACUGAGACACGGUCCAG